rnacentral:rRNA from 1 species
CAGCGCCACAAGUGGCAAUCACGUUUAUUGGGCCUAAAGCGUCCGUAGCCGGUUUAGCAAAUCUUUUGUGAAAUCGUCAGGCUUAACUUGACGAAUUGCAGAAGACACUACUAAACUAGGGACUGGGAGGAGUCAGAAGUAUUCUGGGGGGACCGGUAAAAUGGUAUAAUCCCCAGAGGACUACCGAUGGCGAGGGCAUCUGACCAGAACAGAUCCGACGGUGAGGGACGAAAGCCAGGGGAGCAAACCGGAUUAGAGACCCGAGUAGUCC